AGCUUUGCACAGUGGCAGUAUCGUAGCCAAUGAGGUUUAUCCAAGACAUGAUUAUGGCUAAUUGAAAAUUUUUCUCAAAUUGCAGUUUGUAAGACCACCAAAGAAACUCCUAUCUUACUUUUGCUAUUUUUGCAAUGAGUGUAGCUU
ensembl:snRNA U4 U4 spliceosomal RNA